rnacentral:piRNA from 1 species
UCCUAUUUUUCUCAAAGGCUGAUGGUAA